GCUGUUCCUGCACCUGAAAACACGUGUUGGAAAUAAGAGAGAAGACAAGCAGAAACGAAGCUGAAGAGGUAGCCGCAGAUGGAUACGCCUGUUUCCGUGUUUCUCACUGGCAUCCAUCUUGCAAAGCUCCCAUCUGAACCAUUUGGGCCCGGGGACUCACCGAACAGGGUGAUCUUGGUUGGACAAAAGCUUUUGGACCAAACACUUGACCAAUCGGAUGGAAGCUGUCAGCCCUGCUUUUUUCCAUGACUUUGUAGCACUUGAAGAAGCUUUACAGCGAGCCUGGAACUUGGGUGACUUUUCAAGGAUGGCUGAAGAGAGUCAGGAAGAAUUGGGAAACAUGCAACAAACAUGCGCCGAGACCAGAAAUCGAUCCCAAGGCCAGUGCAUCGAGGACCGUCAGGCUGUGACAUAGUCAAGGUCAUUCACAGGAAACACUGACUGAUUUGGUUUCACAUCUGGCUCUGUGUUUUAGUUUUGGAGCUUCUGUGUAGAGGAAAGGAUGGGGCUGUGUCACAGGGCUACUCUUGUUUUUGGGGGGGUUUCUAGGUAGGUUACAUGCCUUGUGACACCUGGCCACCUGUCAUGUGACUACUCAUCCAGUAGUCGGGAAUGGUGUAUUAGUAGAGAGAGAACUACAAGGAAAUAAAUCGAAAUAACCGGCACAGCAGAUUAAUGUCAGUUAGAAGCUCUAAAUGUAGAUUUUGAUUUUUUUAUUAACCUCCCAGCAGUAGCCAGGAGGCAAACUUGCAAGGUGUCUUGACUGCUGAUUAUCUUACAGUGAUUAAUAUUUAGUAUGGUUGCAGUUAGCUACAGCAAAAUUGGUCAAAAAUAAGCAUUAUAUUUUUAAGUAGAGCUCUCUAAAUUAAUGUUUAAUCACCUGAAUAUAUAAACAUGACAAACUGAAUUGCAGGCGUCAUAAGACAGCUUGAUUCAAGCUGAAUGGCCCAGUUCAGACAGCUGUAACUGUUGCCAGCAUCGAGAAUCUUUGGUUUGAACUGGGCUAAAGAUGCCAAUCGUAUUCCCUAUUUCACAAACUGUACCUUUAAUGGAAUUAAGGUUAUAUGUUUUACUUUUGCACCAGGCAGGCAUAGGUAGGCCAAUGCCUGGGGUCUCUUGCUUCAAGAGGCCUCGAGGUGCUGUCAUUUUAAGUGUGCAUCAAAUAAAGAUUUAUUUGCCACAAAUUUAUAAGUUCUGGAUGGAUAGUUUAGAAAAUAUCUUACAUGAGUCACUGUCUUUUAAGCUUCAUAUAACUUGUG